rnacentral:rRNA from 1 species
CCUACGGGAGGCAGCAGUGUGGAAUAUUGGACAAUGGGGGCAACCCUGAUCCAGCCAUGCCGCGUGUGUGAAGAAGGCCCUCGGGUUGUAAAGCACUUUCAGUGAGGAAGAACGCCUGGUGGUUAAUACCCAUCAGGAAAGACAUCACUCACAGAAGAAGCACCGGCUAACUCCGUGCCAGCAGCCGCGGUAAUACGGAGGGUGCGAGCGUUAAUCGGAAUUACUGGGCGUAAAGCGCGCGUAGGUGGCUUGAUAAGCCGGUUGUGAAAGCCCCGGGCUCAACCUGGGAACGGCAUCCGGAACUGUCAAGCUAGAGUGCAGGAGAGGAAGGUAGAAUUCCCGGUGUAGCGGUGAAAUGCGUAGAGAUCGGGAGGAAUACCAGUGGCGAAGGCGGCCUUCUGGACUGACACUGACACUGAGGUGCGAAAGCGUGGGUAGCAAACAGGAUUAGAUACCCGGGUAGUC